GUGGUUCCAGCAUCCCAGGGAAUCUAAAGUGUCAUUUCCUCUCUGGAAGAAAGGAAGCACAAAACAAGCUAGGCUUCACUGACUUCAAUCAAUAUUGACAUAUUAUAGAACCUCAGAUCUGGAACCUUAUCUUCUGAUCUGGUAAUUUUCAUUUGAGGAGAAAAGGCAUUAAGCCCUGACAGUUUAUGCAUUUCCUUGGAACGUGGGUUGAUUUUAUGUGCACAAAAAGUGGACGCUGAGCUCUUUAACACACUCUUCUCAAUGGUAAGCGUACUCUGCACUGUAACACAUAAUGCAUUUUCUCAAGGACUUUUUCUGUAUUUUGAAAACAAGAACUGAAGGUAUUUGGUAGAUGUGGAACCUGAUUCACAGAAAACUGAAAUAAUCAACUUGAGCUCAAACAGGCAGUGCCUGGGCAAGUUUGAUCAGAACCUUGACCUUUUAACUCUCUAUUUUGCUUUAACAUUAUGUAGAAUCUUUUUUUUUCAUCCAGCUAGAAAGAAAAAGAAAGAAAAAGCUUUAACAGACAUUUGAGAAUGAACUGUUACCUCUUACUCGUCUUGAUAUAUAAACCCUUGACUGUCAAUGCUAAACAAGAAAAUAUCAAGGGAAGAAAUUCAGUUAUAUUGAAAUACCAUCC